rnacentral:lncRNA from 1 species
GCUCACUCUCUGGUCUCAAUUUAAAAUGAUCCCGUGGCCACAGGGCUCCUGCCCAGGGGCUUGUCACCUUCCCCUCCUCCUUCCUGAGUCACUCCUUCAGUAGAAGGCCCUGCUCUCUAUCCUGCCCCACAGCCCUGCCUGGAUUUGUAUCCUUGGCUUCGUGCCAGUUCCUCCAAGUCUAUGGCACCUCCCUCCCUCUCAACCACUUGAGCAAACUCCAAGACACCUUCUACCCCGACACCAGCAAUUAUGCCAAGGGCCAUUAGGCUCUCAACAUGACUAUAGAGACCCCGUAUCAUCAUGGAGACCUUUGUUCCUGUGGGAAAAUAACCCUCCCACCUGCAACAGCUGCCCCUGCUGACUGCGCCUGUCUUCUCCCUCUGACCCCAGAGAAAGGGGCCGUGGUCAGCUGGGAUCUUCUGCCACCAUCAGGGACAAACCGGGGGCAGGAGGAAAGUCACUGAUGCCCAGCUGUUUGCAUCCUGCACAGCUACAGGUCCUUAAUUAAAAGUGUACUGU